rnacentral:rRNA from 1 species
UAGCCGUAAACGAUACUCGCUAGGUGUCGGCCACGGUGCGACCGUUGUCGGUGCCGUAGGGAAGCCGUGAAGCGAGCCACCUGGGAAGUACGGCCGCAAGGCUGAAACUUAAAGGAAUUGGCGGGGGAGCACAACAACGGGUGGAGCUUGCGGUUUAAUUGGAUUCAACGCCGGAAAUCUUACCCGGACCGACAGCAACAUGAAGGCCAAGCUGAAGACUUUGCCGGAUUAGCUGAGAGGUGGUGCAUGGCGUAGUCGUGU